rnacentral:rRNA from 1 species
GACGAACGCUGGCGGCGUGCUUAACACAUGCAAGUCGAACGGAAAGGCCCUGCUUUUGUGGGGUGCUCGAGUGGCGAACGGGUGAGUAACACGUGAGUAACCUGCCCUUGACUUUGGGAUAACUUCAGGAAACUGGGGCUAAUACCGGAUAGGAGCUCCUGCUGCAUGGUGGGGGUUGGAAAGUUUCGGCGGUUGGGGAUGGACUCGCGGCUUAUCAGCUUGUUGGUGGGGUAGUGGCUUACCAAGGCUUUGACGGGUAGCCGGCCUGAGAGGGUGACCGGCCACAUUGGGACUGAGCUACGGCCCAGCCUCCUACGGGAGGCAGCAGUGGGGAAUAUUGCACAAUGGGCGGAAGCCUGAUGCAGCACCGCCGCGUGCGGGAUGACGGCCUUCGGGUUGUAAACCGCUUUCGCCUGUGACGAAGCGUGAGUGACGGUAAUGGGUAAAGAAGCACCGGCUAACUACGUG